UUGCAGCAGUGAUGGAAGCACCUUCUUCUCACACCAUAAUGUGAGAGCUCUGAAUUGUUACUCUUGGGAGAUGAGAGAAGAGCACUAGAGACAGCACCACUUACCCAUUUCUUCUAAGCUGAGGAUUUUGCUGUGUAGGAGAAAACAGAAACCUGCUGAGUUCACCCUGUAGUAACUUUGUGGAUGAGGAUGAGCCCUGCCCACCUUCGCUCCUCACAGCAGUGGUUCAGCCAAGCAGUUGGAGCCCUGACAAUCCAGUGCUCCCAGCCAGGAUUUAGGAUCAUAGCUGUGGCAAUGCUGCAUCUCCUGCGUCCAGGGUACACUCAGGAUGGAGGUACAGGAAGUUUGCACUGCCCUAUGUCCUGCCAACUUGAUCCUGCUCAGAAGCUCUCCCCAGAGGUAAACUGGACAAAUCCUAUCCUACAAAAUCACCCAGAGACAGACCAUGGACGUCAGCGGGGAUAGGAUAUCACAGAUUUUUGAUGUUCAUGGUUUCCAGCUUUAUUGCUGACAACUGAAACCCUCUUUGGACAAAAGCAACAGUGUGGUGAGUAUCUCAAAUAUUCCCCAUCACCAGGAAGCCUCUGGCAUCUCAGGAAUUGUGUCCUAGGACAGAGUGACCCUGUACUUUAUAAUGCCAUGAUGUAUUUAAAAAUGCUGCUUCAAGUAUCAUUUUUGAAUUGUCACCUUUUGAUCUCUCAGCAUCUCUUGCCCCUCUGGAGCCCCAUGGAGCCACUUGGAGCAGUAGCAAACACAACACUGACUCCAAAGGACACGUGGGGCUGCAAGGGGGAUAAUUUCAUCUGAUUGCAUUAAUAUUUUAUUGGAAGCAGAGUGACAAAUUGGAGACUGAUUGCAAACAGCAGACAAUCACUGACUGCAGAGAAUCCUGGCACUCCACUGGCACUUCAGAUGCUUUAAGGAGCCAUUCCAAAUCUGCAGGAAAAUGGUUGAAACAUUUUAAUUCUGUAAUUUAAAUUACAUCACUCGCUUAACCAGCUAUUUUGAUUGUGAUUAUG
rnacentral:lncRNA from 1 species